AUUCCAGCUCCAAUAGCGUAUAUUAAAGUUGUUGCAGUUAAAACGCUCGUAGUCGGAUUUCGGGGCGGGCCGACCGGUCUGCCGAUGGGUAUGCACUGGCCGGCGCGUCCUUCCACCCGGAGACCGCGCCUACUCUUAACUGAGCGGGCGCGGGAGACGGGUCUUUUACUUUGAAAAAAUCAGAGUGUUCAAAGCGGGCUUACGCUUGAAUAUUUCAGCAUGGAAUAACACUAUAGGACUCCAGUCCUAUUUCGUUGGUCUCGGGACGGGAGUAAUGAUUAAGAGGAACAGUUGGGGGCAUUCGUAUUUCAUUGUCAGAGGUGAAAUUCUUGGAUUUAUGAAAGACGAACUUCUGCGAAAGCAUUUGCCAAGGAUGUUUUCAUUA
rnacentral:rRNA from 1 species